rnacentral:tRNA from 1 species
GCCGAAGUGGUGAAACUGGUAGACACGCUAUCUUGAGGGGGUAGUGGCGCAAGCUGUGUGGGUUCGAGUCCCACCUUCGGCA